GCGGGGAACCUCGCGCGCGGCCGGCUCCGGGCGGCGCCGACACCCCGCCCCGCAGUCUCCGGGGACGGAGCAAAGGUCGCCCCGCCCCUACUCCUCGCGCGGCUCCGCGGCCCCGCCGGCCUAGCGCGGGGGAGUGAAGAGGCGGCGCCGCCCGGACGGCCCCACCAGGCUCGGUGGCCGUGCCGCUGCCCUCGUUCGCGGCCGAUCUGGGUUCGCCAGAGUCUCUCCCGUUCCCGCCCGAGGGCCCUGCGCAGCCAGCCUCUCCCCGCUCCGCUCUCGGCGGGGUCCGGUGUCAGCUCCAAGUUUUGAGCCGUUGCCUUUCGGGCGCUCGAGGCCGAGUGGGCGGUGCCAUCGCUCCCUGCCUUUCGGGAGAUGCGCCGGCAGCCCCGUGGAAGAUUUUGAAGAGACCAAACAAGGGAAGGGUGCUACUGGGUGUCCUGUCUAGCACACUUUUCAGUUGUAUCUACCACAGGAUCCUAAUGCAAGACAGCAAAGAGACUUCAUAAAGACUUUAUGGGAUCUGAAUCACCUUCUCAUGUAGAUUCCUGUGUGGAUUGAAUGAAGUCCAGGCUGUGUGACCUGGGAGGGCCAGAGUCGGAUAUGUUGUACUAUUCCAGUGCUUAAAGUCAAAUUGGACAGAAUGUCGUGUCAAGCCACUUGAAAACAACGAAGGACGUGACAUCAUCUCGUCUCAUUUGUGGCAUAAUCCACCCCAGGCCACUGCCAUCCCAAGGCGCACACAGAUUCUGUCUGGUACCGCGUGGGGUCCUCAGGAGGAACAAUGCCUACCUGUCACGCAGGGCCGUGAGCCCCCUUCCUAGAGGGGAGGGGGCAGCCUGAGGGAAGCCAGUGAGAGGACACACGGUGAACUGGUCCUUGGAAGAUGAGACUUCGGGCAGGUAAAGGGGAAAGGGUGUCAGGCAGAGGAACGGGCAGGCCCAAGACCAUGGAGUGGUUCUUAAGAAUCAGUGAAUGUGUGUUGGUGUGAAUGUGUGCACGUGUGAUCUCAUGAGCAGCAGCAGCUAAGGUGUCUUCUGGACGAAGCUGCCAUCUGAGGGGCGUAGUCUUCAUUCUGCAGGCAAGAAAAGUACCGUGGCUGGAAAGGGAAUGCCUGACUUGGUUUUGAGCCAUCUCUCCAGCAGGACCGAGGGAACACGGCAGGGAGACUGGCUAGGAGGCUGAUUUUGUAAUGCUGCAGGUGAUAGGUGUCAGACUUGGGACAGAAGCGAUCGUACUGGAGAAGAGAAAAGCAAAAUUAACGUGGUGGGGGAAGGAUGAGGGUGAUGCUUAGCCUGGUGUCUGGGUGAAUGGUGAAAGCCACGUCCAAGAGUUAAGAUGGGGACUCGACGCUGGGGUGUUGGUGAAGGAAGACGGCCAGGGCUUGAGAUGUGGGUGUGGGUAAAUUUGCCUUUGGAGACUUUGGAGGUUAAAAAAAAAAAAAGAUUCUAUAUACUCAACAUCAUUCAUCAUUAGGGAAAUGCAAGCCAAACUACAGUGAGCUAUCACCUCACACCUGUCAGAAUGGCUAAAAUAAAAAAAUAUGAGGGUGCCUGGGUGGCUCAGUCGGUUAAGCGUCCAACAGCAACUCAGGUCACGAUCUCGAGGUUGGUGGGUUCGAGCCCCGUGUUGGGCUCUGUGCUGACAGCUCAGAGCCUGGAGCCUGCUUCAGAUUCUGUGUUUCCCUCUCUCUCUGCCCCUUCCCUGCUCUCUCGCUCUCUCUCUCUCUCAAAAAUAAACAUUAAAAAAAUAAUAAAAUAAAAAACACAAAGAAAAACCAAGUGUUGGUGAGGAUGUGGAGAAAAAAGAACCCUCUUGCACUCUUGUUGGGAAUGCAAACUGGUGCAGCCGCUGUUGAAAAUGGUAUGGAGAUUUCUCAAAAUGUUAAAAAAUAGAGGUACCCAAUAAUCCAGUAUUGCAUUGCUGGGUAUUGAGCAAAAAAUACAAAAACACUAAUUCAAAAGACUACACACACCCCUAUGUUUAUAGCAACAUUAUUUACAAGACCCAAAUUACGGAAGCAGCCCAAGUGACCACUGAUAAAUGAAUGGAUAAAGACGAGGUGGCAUAUACACGUAAGGGAAUAUUAUUCAACCAUAAAAAAGAAUGAAACCUUGCCACUCGCAAUAACGUGGAUGGAGCUAGAGAGUAAAAUGCUAGGUGAAAUAAUCAGUCAGAGAAAGACAAAUACCAUAUGACUUCACUCAUAGGCAGAAUUUAAGAAACAAAACAAGCAAAGAAAAAAGAGACGAAAUAAGUGAAAGGGAUUCAGGGUACACCUCCCAGAUGAGCAGAGAGUCACAUAGAGAAUUCCUGGAGCCUGCAUUUUACACCUGAAACUAAUAUAACACUGUAGGUUAAGUGUAUUGGAGUUAAAAUUUUUAAAAAAUGAAUUAAAAAAGAAAAAGAUUCCAUAGAUGACUCAGAGAUCUGACAGGGAUCAGGCUGAGGUGUGAUGCCUUUGGUUCCAGCCAGCUCAGUACCCCUUAGGUCU